AUCAUUCAUGUUGCUCCCCGUGCUGGCUGGAAAGCACGGUUCUCCUCUGCCUUAAAAACAGUGCCCAACAGUGAACUGCCCCUCCGAGGACUUGAAACACAGUUAUGGGUCGCAAGAAGAAGAAGCAGCUGAAGCCGUGGUGCUGGUAUUGUAAUAGAGAUUUUGAUGAUGAGAAGAUCCUUAUUCAGCACCAAAAAGCAAAGCAUUUUAAAUGCCAUAUAUGUCACAAGAAAUUGUAUACAGGACCUGGCUUAGCUAUUCAUUGCAUGCAGGUACAUAAAGAAACAAUAGAUGCCGUACCAAAUGCAAUACCUGGAAGAACAGACAUAGAGUUGGAAAUAUAUGGUAUGGAAGGUAUUCCAGAAAAAGACAUGGAUGAAAGACGACGACUUCUUGAACAGAAAACACAAGAAAGUCAAAAAAAGAAGCAACAAGAUGAUUCUGAUGAAUAUGAUGAUGACGACUCUGCAGCCUCAACUUCAUUUCAGCCACAGCCUGUUCAACCUCAGCAAGG
ensembl:lncRNA novel transcript